rnacentral:tRNA from 1 species
GGGGCCUUAGCUUAAUUAAAGUGUCUGAGUUGCAUUCAGAAGAUGUGAGGUAGAGUCUUGCAGGUCUUAA